UUGAUAUCUAAUAGUUAGGGAGGCGAGGUAGCUAAAUGGCGUAAUUCAACGGCGCCGUCGAGACCUAUCAAAAUCGAAAGAUAAAAUAAUUUCGAAAAGAAAAGCUCGUAUGGCAAAAACCAUUUUAGCGGUGGGUUUGGCGUGUACGGUUUUUCAAAAAUGUUAAAAAAAAACAGUUACUUGGGCAUUCUCGAGCGCGUCAGAUAUUCAUACUACGUAUGCCCCGAGUGCCUCUGAUAACAACGGUAUACUAAUCUGCCGGUUUGCGUGGUGGGGGUAGGCAUAUAAAGUAGUCAAAAAUGCAAAAAAAAAAAAUUUACUCGAGCGCGUCAGAUUUUCGGAAGGGGUGUUAAGUAGGCCCCAAAGAAGCUUCCUUUAAAAAAACUGACGAUUUCGGCGUGACGAUAAGUUACGAUGAAUUUUUGAAAAUGCAAAAAAAAAAAGUUUUUUUGAAAUACUCGAGCGCGUCAGAUUUUCAUAGGGGAGGUUUAUCUCGGUAUCCUGAAAGCAUAUUUUUUAAUCUGACAAAAAUGUUGGUGGGUUCUCUUAAUCUGACCGAAAAAGGUUUUUUGUCACAUAAUUUAAUCAUCGUUAUUUCAUAUCAAUUUUUUUUAACACCCUCAGUUUUCGAGAUAUACUCAAAAAACCGGGAGUUUGAGUUUUUAUGAUGCUUCAAGUCAAAAAGUUUUAACUUUGGACAAAAAUGUAAAGAGACCUUUUUUGUGUAAAAUAAAAUUACCUUUUUUGUUUAUUUAAACUUUUUUUUUGUAAAAUGUAUCGUUCGUGACUUAUAUGCCGCAACGCGUUCUUAGGAAGACGAAAUGGCUCCUCCACACUUCCGGUCAUGCGGAAACCGGCAGAUUUUGUAUUUUUAGUAAGUUUUAGAUUAUAUUCUUCAAAAUAAAAAAUAAAAAAAUCGCGCUCGAGAAUGCCGGAUUAACGUUUUUUUUUACAAGUUCGCGACCCUAUAACUCGGCGGCGUCAAGGACUUAUCGUCAGAUUAGUUAAAUUUAGUCUUUAAACACUAAAAUCAACCCCCAAUAUCUUAAUCUGAGGCGCUCGAGUAUUUCAGACUAUCCAUUUUUU